rnacentral:rRNA from 1 species
UGGGGAAUAUUGCACAAUGGGCGCAAGCCUGAUGCAGCCAUGCCGCGUGUAUGAAGAAGGCCUUCGGGUUGUAAAGUACUUUCAGCGGGGAGGAAGGCGAUAAGGUUAAUAACCUUGUCGAUUGACGUUACCCGCAGAAGAAGCACCGGCUAACACCGUGCCAGCAGCCGCGGUAAUACGGAGGGUGCAAGCGGUAAUCGGAAUUACUGGGCGUAAAGCGCACGCAGGCGGUCUGUCAAGUCGGAUGUGAAAUCCCCGGGCUCAACCUGGGAACUGCAUUCGAAACUGGCAGGCUAGAGUCUUGUAGAGGGGGGUAGAAUUCCAGGUGUAGCGGUGAAAUGCGUAGAGAUCUGGAGGAAUACCGGUGGCGAAGGCGGCCCCCUGGACAAAGACUGACGCUCAGGUGCGAAAGCGUGGGGAGCAAACA